rnacentral:rRNA from 1 species
UACGUAGGGUCCGAGCGUUGUCCGGAAUUACUGGGCGUAAAGAGCUCGUAGGUGGUUUGUCGCGUUGUCCGUGAAAACUCACAGCUCAACUGUGGGCGUGCGGGCGAUACGGGCAGACUGGAGUACUGCAGGGGAGACUGGAAUUCCUGGUGUAGCGGUGGAAUGCGCAGAUAUCAGGAGGAACACCGGUGGCGAAGGCGGGUCUCUGGGCGGUAACUGACGCUGAGGAGCGAAAGCGUGGGGAGCGAACAGG